GAAGCGCUCCUCCACCAGCGGGCAUUUUUGCGCUCACGCGCGACUGCUCCAGGCUGUCAUUGCUCUCCUGACCGUCUACGAGAAGACUGGGAAACUUGAGAGGGAUUCCCCAGGAUCAACCAUCUGAGCAGAUACCUUGGAAUGUCCCCAGAUUUCAGAGAAUUCCAAAGAAGAUAGAAAUGGAGUUAGGAAGGAGAUUUUUGCCCUCCUGGCUCUUGUCUUCCUUCUCCACUUCAAGUGAAAGGACAGGGCCGGGAGUCAUGCCUCCCCAGGCGUGAGGCGUGUGUGGGCUGUAUCCCAGAGGAGAUUUUCUUUGCCAAUUGUGGAAUGAAGACUGUAUCAAAGUUCAGAGGAUCCGCCAACACAGAAGAGAGAAACACCAGAUGCUUGGGGCCUCUAAGCAGAAGGAGCAACCCACCAAUCCCA
rnacentral:lncRNA from 1 species